GACGAACGCUGGCGGCGUGCUUAACACAUGCAAGUCGAACGGAAAGGCCCUGCUUGCAGGGUACUCGAGUGGCGAACGGGUGAGUAACACGUGGGUGAUCUGCCCUGCACUUCGGGAUAAGCCUGGGAAACUGGGUCUAAUACCGGAUAGGAGCCAUUUUUAGUGUGAUGGUUGGAAAGUUUUUUCGGUGUAGGAUGAGCUCGCGGCCUAUCAGCUUGUUGGUGGGGUAAUGGCCUACCAAGGCGGCGACGGGUAGCCGGCCGGAGAGGGUGGACGGCCACAUUGGGACUGAGAUACGGCCCAGACUCCUACGGGAGGCAGCAGUGGGGAAUAUUGCACAAUGGGCGCAAGCCUGAUGCAGCGACGCCGCGUGGGGGAUGACGGCCUUCGGGUUGUAAACUCCUUUCGCUAGGGACGAAGCUUUUUGUGACGGUACCUAGAUAAGAAGCACCGGCUAACUACGUG
rnacentral:rRNA from 1 species